AGUGAACGCUGGCGGUAGGCCUAACACAUGCAAGUCGAACGGCAGCACAGUAAGAGCUUGCUCUUACGGGUGGCGAGUGGCGGACGGGUGAGGAAUACAUCGGAAUCUACUUUUUCGUGGGGGAUAACGUGGGGAAACUUACGCUAAUACCGCAUACGACCUACGGGUGAAAGCAGGGGAUCUUCGGACCUUGCGCGAUUGAAUGAGCCGAUGUCGGAUUAGCUAGUUGGCGGGGUAAAGGCCCACCAAGGCGACGAUCCGUAGCUGGUCUGAGAGGAUGAUCAGCCACACUGGAACUGAGACACGGUCCAGACUCCUACGGGAGGCAGCAGUGGGGAAUAUUGGACAAUGGGCGCAAGCCUGAUCCAGCCAUACCGCGUGGGUGAAGAAGGCCUUCGGGUUGUAAAGCCCUUUUGUUGGGAAAGAAAAGAAGCAGGUUAAUACCCCGCUGUUCUGACGGUACCCAAAGAAUAAGCACCGGCUAACUUCGU
rnacentral:rRNA from 1 species